GGGCCUGUAUUGGUUUUGACAGCAUAGGUUACGGUAAGUAUAAGCAUGCAGUGCGUUGGAUAAUUAGCACUUAAAUCUGAAUAUUCAAACCUCAAAUGGCAAUACACAGUAUGCCAUGGCUGCCUAAUCAGUGAUUAGUUAGUCAUUCGGGCCGCCGAACAGGUUUACCUGUUGCCAGGUUCCGCCGCCGACUUAAAACAAACACAGGUUGCUGCAACAGAAGGCUGUGACUGUUGCUUAAGAACAUUCAGCUAAGUAUUAAAUUGGUUUGUUCGUUUCCGGUUUAGUGCCUACAAUUAAUAAUGAAAUAAGCAUGUAGAAAACUUAUGGUAAUUGUGUUUGGACAGCGGUUCGAGUCCGCUCAGGUCCAC
rnacentral:tmRNA from 1 species